UGUAAUGAAAUUAAAUUUAACAAAAGAAAAUUUACAUUGUUAACAAUUAGACUUACAUUUUUAAAUUUGAAAGAUAGAAGGAUUAAAUUCCUUGGAAUAAAAGUAGGACAGAAUUCUAAAUGUACAUAAAGUGAAGGGACUUUUAGCACAUUUUAACCAAAGCAUCGAGUAAACUAAGGUUAUGCUGCUACAGGUGCUACGGCCUACGAAAGCAACUUAAAGCUGAGCUCAUCUUCCUUCACUACCAGCACCUGCAGCAAGGAACUCAUCGUCCUCCAAAAACCUCGCUGCAUCACCAUGGAAAUCCGACCAGUUACGAGAAAAAAAUAUCAUGUGUCUUCUGCAAAGUACACAUAUUAAGUUAAUCUAUAAUGAUGGGUGGAAAAAAUCUUGUUACGAAUGACUAGAGAUAAGAUAUAUAAUCCUUAAUUAAACAUUACACCCCUUCUUACAAAAUUAUCUUGAAAAGUUUUAAGGCGAAAAAAAUGUUUAUACCUUCCAUUUGUGUCUUCUGAACUGCUUACAAUCGAUCAUCACAAGAAACAAAAAUAAUUUUCAUUUAAAAAAACAGUUUGAAGCAUAUGAAUUGCCUAUAGACCCUAAUUCUAACUCAUGCUAUUCUGAGAUAUAGGUAGAUCAAAACGUAUGUACUUACGAGUCACAGUUUUGAAUUCGAC
rnacentral:lncRNA from 1 species